AGUGAACGCUGGCGGUAGGCCUAACACAUGCAAGUCGAACGGCAGCACAGUAAGAGCUUGCUCUUACGGGUGGCGAGUGGCGGACGGGUGAGGAAUACAUCGGAAUCUACUUUUUCGUGGGGGAUAACGUAGGGAAACUUACGCUAAUACCGCAUACGACCUACGGGUGAAAGCAGGGGAUCUUCGGACUUUGCGCGAUUGAAUGAGCCGAUGUCGGAUUAGCUAGUUGGCGUGGUAAAGGCCCACCAAGGCGACGAUCCGUAGCUGGUCUGAGAGGAUGAUCAGCCACACUGGAACUGAGACACGGUCCAGACUCCUACGGGAGGCAGCAGUGGGGAAUAUUGGACAAUGGGCGCAAGCCUGAUCCAGCCAUACCGCGUGGGUGAAGAAGGCCUUCGGGUUGUAAAGCCCUUUUGUUGGGAAAGAAAAGCAGCAGGUUAAUACCCCGCUGUUCUGACGGUACCCAAAGAAUAAGCACCGGCUAACUUCGUG
rnacentral:rRNA from 1 species